GGCGAUUAAUAGACGGCACACUCCAUAUGCUGGGUGGUCGGUCAUUCGUUCCUACGAAUGACCUGGUGAAUUGCUUUCGUGGUUUAUUUAGAAGAAAAGACACAGACCUAUUGCAACAAAGUGGCAGACAGAGGGUAUUUGUAACACCUCGUGGCUUGGUUCUCCUCCUGCUGGCCUCCUUUUGGCUUGGUGAACCACCCUCUUCCUCGCCCAUCCCUUCUGGUCUACUUAUGGCUUGUGAUUUCCC